ensembl:lncRNA
AUGAUAUUCACUUUUUCUUUUCUUUUUCUACCUCCUCUGCACAAAAACAAAAAACCAGAAAAUAUUCUUCUACAAAAUAAGAUAUUUACUGUUCUGGUGACUGUAUUUUGGGGUUUUCUUCAGCUAAGUUGGAUAGGAGACAUAAUCAAAUUUCUCAUUGCUUUUGGGAGAGUUGCUACCUUCACCAGCUACUGCUCCUUCCAACCAUCCAUCUGGAAUUACAAACAGCUUAGGGUCAUGCUAUCUUUUCCUACGAGAUCCUUAAAUCUUACAGCUCUGUUAGAGAAGUCCUCAUCUGCACACAUAUGUCGUCUAAGCCAGUGUAAUGGAAGAUUGAUACGUUGCCUAUGUUUCCUUUCACUACUGGACUGUGUGCCCAGCAGAGAGUUACUUAACUUUGGGCUGAUUGCUUCACCUCACCUGGUAAAUGAGAACAAUGGACCCUUCAGAGGAAUGAAUUGAAAAUAAAACGUGAGAAAAUGCUAUGAAAUUUGCAGAGAGAUAUGUAGGUAAGUGAUAUUUUAAAAAAUAUUGGAUUAUCAGAUUGGUCAUGUUUAUAAGAAUAAAAGUAUUAACUAUAAGAUAUAAUUGAGUUACCUAAGACUUACAUUUUAGUGUAAAAAUGAAGUGAACACAAUUUUCUAUUCAAACCCUUCUCUUUUUAAAGGAAAUUUAGUUUCUAUUCUAUUAAUAAUAUUAAAUGUAGUAAUAAAUUUAGUAGCUAUAAUCAUAGGACAUCUUUUGACCACCUCUGAGAUUGCCAGGUGCUGUUGUGUUCAUCUCACCUAAUUUCUGCUUGGAAGAUCUCUGAUUGGAAGGCAGUCUGCUAGUUGUCUUUCAAUAUUUAGUCUCCCCUUCCUCUACAAUAAAAGCAUCUGUAACAGACACGUAACCAUGCAGAAAGAAUGACUACAUUUUCCAACAAGGUGUGGCUCAGCUCUAGCCAAUGGGUUAUAGAGGAAGUACUGUGCGAUUGUUUCUGUGAACUGUCUUGUGACAGACAGACACUGGAGAAGCCCGCAUGGUACCCACCCCUUGCUGUUCAGUCCUUGUAAAAUACCCUCCCCUGGAGUGUGGACAGGACCUGUGAGUUAUUUAUAACUAAUAGAAUAUGACAAAUAUGAUGGGAUUUCACUCGUUAUGUUAUGUUAUGUUAUGUUAUGUUAUGUUAUGUUAUGUUAUGUUAUGUCACAUAAGACUUCAUCUUGCUACCAGACUAACUCUAGUGGCUCUCCUUUCUGGCUUAAUGAAGCAAAUGGCCACACUGGGAAAGCUCAUGUGGCAAGAAACUGCAAGAAGCCUCAAUAAAUAAUGGAUUGCCUCUAGGAAUUGUGAGCUCUGGGAUAUCAGGGAAGCCUCCAGCCAACAGCCAGCAAGAACCUGAAGCUCCUAGUAUCACAGCCACAAAAAUAAAUUCUGAUAGCAAUUUGAGUCAGCUUGGAAAUGGAUUCUUCCUCAGUUGAAACCCCUGAUUGUAAUGCAGCCCAAUCAGCACCAUGAUAGCAACAUUGUGAAACCCUAAGCAUAGUAACUAGCUAAGCUGUUUUUGUACUCCUGACAUAGGGAAACUAUGAGAUAAUAAAUGUCUGUUGCCUAAGUUGCUAAGUUUGUGACAAUUUGUUAUGUGGCACUAAUACAGUCCUUCAGAGGCAGCUGGCACAUGCUAUUUGCCCUUUUUCUUUUUUCACGUCUUCUUUCAUCUUGUUGCUUAGACUUCUGCUACAACCUUACUGAACCACAAAGUUGGAGUGUCAUUUUCAAGAUGAUGAAUCCUUGAGCUGAAACAGAUCCAGG